rnacentral:rRNA from 1 species
UACGAAGGGGGCUAGCGUUGCUCGGAAUGACUGGGCGUAAAGGGCGCGUAGGCGGUUUGGACAGUCAGAUGUGAAAUUCCUGGGCUCAACCUGGGGGCUGCAUUUGAUACGUUCGGACUAGAGUGGGGAAGAGGGUCGUGGAAUUCCCAGUGUAGAGGUGAAAUUCGUAGAUAUCGGGAGGAACACCGGUGGCGAAGGCGGCGACCUGGGUAGAUACUGACGCUGAGGCGCGAAAGCGUGGGGAGCAAACAGG